rnacentral:rRNA from 1 species
AAUCCUGGUGACUCUAGCGGAGAGGCCACACCCGUUCCCAUCCCGAACACGGAAGUUAAGCUCUCCAGCGCCGAAGAUACUGAGAGGGCAGCCUUUCGGGAAAAUAGGUCGUCGCCAGGAUUUU